ACGUAGAGGUUUCUUAUCCUGAUCAUUUGUAAUGGAUAUGUUUUGAGCACAAUUGCAGUGUCAUUUGUUUGUCCAGGUUUAUUCAUGACGGUGUUGUCAAUAUACUUUGAAGUUGCAGAUUCUGCUUUGAUAGCAUGAGAGGAGUUUUGGUUGUCUUUAGCGAAGUUUUGUAUAUUCUGUAGCAAGCAUUUUUAUUCCAUUGAAUUUAAGAUAUCUUUACCUCAACCAGUUCUUGAGUUCAAUAUCCAGAAAUUGGGAUUUCUAUUUGUCUCUCCUUUCAAGUUGUAUAGAUGGUGAAGAUGUAGCGCUUCCUAGUCUACCUGGAAUUUGAUGGACAACUUUGAAUGUGGAAAGAAACUUCUGAUAGACUCUGGGGUGCAGCCUAAGAUGUAACUCAGUAUGGAUUAUCAAGUUCAUGGUCAUGGUCAAGUUGGUGGUAUAUUUCUUGCCUCCUCUAUCGUUCUUGGGCUUUUGGUGUGUUGUAACUGGUACGCCCACUAUUAUAGACGAGGGUCAGAAAUCCACGGUGGUCCUAUCACCAUUGAAUACUUGCUGCUAGCCUCCAUUAUCUAUAAUUGAAUGGAAGAAAACAUUUGGUUAUUCGCACUUGUAAGCAGAUGCUGGUUCAGUCAUGUUAGAACAGAUGCAUGCAAUAUCUGUUUUGGUAGUCAUCGACUUACAUACCACUGGUAUUGCUACUGGUAUUGUUUAGUCAUGUAAGAACAGAUGCAAUAUCUGUUUUUGUAGUCAUCAACUUGCAAACCACUGGUACUGGUAUUGUUUGUGAAUUUCAUUUCAUACUUGAAUUUUGUGAUCCCCUGGUACAUGGGUUUAGUAUGCAAUUUGAAGUGCAUGUAACUGAAUUUUGUUUUCUUUAGGGAGAAGUUAUUGGACAAUAUUUUCUUAUGGCCUUGACAGAUAUGGUGUGGCAUUAUGAGGUCCAAUUUAAGAUCUGCAAUAGUUGUAUGCAUUGCUGUUUUGGGAGGGGGUUGCAUCUUAACAGGCCCUGGCACAGGUGUAUGUUCAUAGAACCAUUUUGUAAAUGAUUGAGAAAUUGAGAGGAAUCCAAAUGCCUUGUUUUCAAGUAUCGAAAUUCAUUAAUUUGUUUGAAGUGUGGAUUCAUGAUUUCGUUGGAUUCAUGAAAUGAGUGUGUUCCAGGGCAACCUUGUCAUUUGCUGUGGACGAUUUAUCUGUGCAGCUUAAGCCCCUUGAAUGCUAUAGAAAAUUAACUGUCGCCUAAUAGUUUCACACGGUAGUAGAUCUCCUAAUUUGGAAGUUCAUAACUGAGGGGUGGUAACUUAGUUGAUUUAUAGGUUAACCCUGCUGCAGUUUAAGGGUAAGAUUUGGUAUGAAAACAAGUGAAGAAAGUUGGGCGGUUGUAAUCGUGGUAUAUGUUUGGUCAGGUAACCUCAAGGUUGUCUAAUGGGAUUCAAGGCCCCCCUCCAUAUGGAGACACACACACCCAGCCACCCAAAAAAAGAAAAAAAAAAGUGUGUUAUUAAGGAAAGGUGUGCUAUUAGUACAGUUUAUUUUGCUAUUUUUGUUAAAACUGAUUAAUUGAGAUUGCUGUGUGGGGAUGUGGCUUGAUGGUUCCCUCGGCCUGACGGUCUUUUUUGACUUUGCUGCAUCUGAGUUCGAUUUUUUUUGUUUUGUUUUGUGGGAGAUGCAUCUAUAGCAGCACUUUCUUGUCUGUGGUUCUUAAUUGUGGCUUGCUUGUUUGUAUGCUUGUGCUGUUUUGUUUGGUAGGAU
rnacentral:lncRNA from 1 species